rnacentral:ncRNA from 2 species
AGAUGUUCUCAGGGCGGGGCGAAAUUCCCCACCGGCGGUAAAAGGUGCAAACCCCAAGCCCGCGAGCGCCUUCGCUGAUGAGGUGAAGGGUCAGCAGAUCCGGUGCAACUCCGGAGCCGACGGUAUAGUCCGGAUGGAAGAGAGCAAGC